UGGUCAAAGUCAGAUUUGGAUCCUCUACUGAGCUUAAGGAGAGGAUUCUUCUGACCAACAUAUAUGGGCCGUUGGAUGAAAAUUCAACGGCUAUAAUUAUUAUAAUUUUAAAAUGAUCUCCUGUUUAUAACUAUUGAAUUUUUAUCCAACGGUCCAUAUAUGUUGGUUAGGAGGAUCCUCUCCGUUAGCUCAGGAGAGGAUCCAAAUCCGUCAAAGUCG